UACGUAGGGUGCGAGCGUUAAUCGGAAUUACUGGGCGUAAAGCGUGCGCAGGCGGUCGUGCAAGACAGGUGUGAAAUCCCCGGGCUUAACCUGGGAACUGCACUUGUGACUGCACGGCUGGAGUACGGCAGAGGGGGAUGGAAUUCCGCGUGUAGCAGUGAAAUGCGUAGAUAUGCGGAGGAACACCGAUGGCGAAGGCAGUCCCCUGGGCCUGUACUGACGCUCAUGCACGAAAGCGUGGGGAGCAAACAGG
rnacentral:rRNA from 1 species